GAUGAACGCUGGCGGCGUGCUUAACACAUGCAAGUCGAACGAAGCACUUCAUAAAGCUUGCUUUAGGAAGUGACUUAGUGGCGGACGGGUGAGUAACGCGUGGGUAACCUGCCUUACACAGGGGGAUAACAGUUAGAAAUGACUGCUAAUACCGCAUAAAACAGCAGAGUCGCAUGACUCAACUGUCAAAGAUUUAUCGGUGUAAGAUGGACCCGCGUCUGAUUAGCUUGUUGGUGGGGUAACGGCCUACCAAGGCGACGAUCAGUAGCCGGCCUGAGAGGGUGAACGGCCACAUUGGGACUGAGACACGGCCCAAACUCCUACGGGAGGCAGCAGUGGGGAAUAUUGGACAAUGGGCGAAAGCCUGAUCCAGCGACGCCGCGUGAGCGAUGAAGUAUUUCGGUAUGUAAAGCUCUAUCAGCAGGGAAGAAA
rnacentral:rRNA from 1 species